CUCUGAGGGUGGGAGGUGUCUGGGCCACUGGGGGGGAGUCAGCGAGGGGACCCUGGGAGUGCGUGUCUGUGGUGGGGGGGUGUCUGGGCCGCUGCGAGGAUCCUGGGGGGGUAUCUGGGCCAGUGGGAAGGUGUCUGGCUCGCUGGGGGGGUGUCCCAGCCGCUGGAGGGAUUGGGGGGGGUGUCUGGGCCGCUGCGAGGA